rnacentral:lncRNA from 1 species
GCAGAGCCACUGUACACGCGCUAGCAAUAGUAAUAGCAUUACUAUUAUACAGACUAUUAUACAAAACCCCUGCACUUAUUUUAUUUCUCCAUCUAGUAAUUGAUCCUUCACUUCUAUCAGCUUGCAAAAUAUCCUCUAAGGAUAUAGGAGGAUCCAGAGCAGCAAAGGUCCAUCAAUAGUAGUAAUAGUAGUAUAUACAUUCACUCUUG